CUUCGGCCCGGGACGGACCAUCGGCUGCCCUGUCGGGGGAGCCCGGACGCACAAAGUUUCCGAAAAGUUCUGCCCGUCGCUGCCGCACCCCGUUCGGGCAGAUCUUAACUUAGCAGAGCACGGCUCUUCUUCCUCGAUGGACCCAAGCAGACCGUUGCUUGACCUAUUACUGAAGCGCCACAUCACCCAGAAGCAAGAAUUCAUCACUAGUAGUUAAACCUGCCUUACCCUCCUCCAACCCUGCAUCCCUUGUCAGGUGCUCCACCUGGUGCCUAGCUCAGAGGAUGCUAAGUGGAGCAACCCAAUGGACAGACUUAUUGACAGUAGCACAAUGUGAUGAGAAUGGAAAGAAGAGAUACUUAGGAAGACAGAUCUUCAAAUAUGCAGGGCUUUGGCAGCCAUGAUGAUGAGUGUGGCAUAUAUGAACCAGGAAUGGCUUCUUCAGUGUGUCCUUUUAGCUCCUAGGGCUGCCUCUCUACCUAGAUUCCAAAUGAUGUUACCAGUAUGCAGUCUCAUUGCUUCCUUAGAACAGGACACAGAGGAAUUACAUACAUGUUUUCAUAUAUUUCCUUAUUAUAGUCUACUUUAUUUUUUUUACCACGGUGUACAUUGUUUUAUUUUUACUAGGUCAAAAAAAGUCAUAUCUUCUUUAAAAAUAAAGUGUGGUGGUGAC
ensembl:lincRNA Gm26854 uncharacterized LOC110334504